UACAGCCAUAUCAUAUUGAAACAUUCGUUCUUGUUCGAUCACCGAAGUUAAGCGACGUUGAGUCCGGUCAGUACCUAGAUGGAUGACCGCUUGGGAAUAUUAGAU